rnacentral:rRNA from 1 species
UACGUAGGGUGCAAGCGUUAAUCGGAAUUACUGGGCGUAAAGCGUGCGCAGGCGGUUGUGCAAGACAGAUGUGAAAUCCCCGGGCUCAACCUGGGAACUGCAUUUGUGACUGCACGGCUGGAGUGCGGCAGAGGGGGAUGGAAUUCCGCGUGUAGCAGUAAAAUGCGUAGAUAUGCGGCGGAACACCGAUGGCGAAGGCAAUCCCCUGGGCCUGCACUGACGCUCAUGCACGAAAGCGUGGGGAGCAAACAGG